GUACCGGGAGUUUAUUAAAAAAUACUGUUUUACAAGUCUGUGCCUUACCGUUAGGUCCAUGAUUACAAAACAAAAUCAAACCCCGCGCCGACGCCGGUUAGUUACACGAACGUUGCCAAUACUCACUAGCCUGGCUCCGCCCGCCUAAGUACUUCCGCUCAAUUUGAAUUUCCCUUCAGUACUAGGUCUGGACCUGCUGUAUGUAAUUUGGUUUUCUGGGGCCGCCACAGCGGCGCCCAAUCAGCGAACAGAGGGCGUGUCUGAGAACAAUGACGAUGGCGUGUUGUCAACGAUUAGACCCAGCUUCGAAAGUUGACUGCAUACAUCAUCUCUGGCCUUACUAUAAAAUAUUGAUUUACAAUGUGCAAUUUUUCCCUGAUAAAUUUAAUUAGACGAACAAAACCUGCAGCUGUCGUUGACGGACAUUUUCGUGCAGACGCGCAAGGUGUUUGGUUUGUGUACAACCUGCGCGUGAUUCCCGGCGCAUGACAUACGUCACAACCAAACGUUAGCGAUUGGUUAUGGCAGAUCCAGAGUGGCACUGGGCAGAUCCAAUCAUUUUAAACUUCAACAGACACCCGCCUUCAAGUGAGUUAACGUUUGUCAAUUGAUUAGGUCCAGACUCUCUGUACAAAUGAAAUGAAAUGAAGUGAAGUACGAGAGUCUGGUAGAACCAGGCUAAAUACUCACUGCGCACUCCCACGUAAAUGGCUACCGUAAAUAAUAUUAUAGAGGCGCCAACACUCGCUAGAUUGUCACAAACCGCAAAGUAUCAAGAGGGGCACCUCUAUUAUAUUAUUUACGGUACAGUAUUUUUUUAAUAAAUUCCCGGUAUGCUAACUAAGUUGUUGAUGCUUCGUUUUAUGUGUAGGGACCUCAGUCAUGCUACUGCAGAGGUUUGGUGCUAUUUUGAGCAAUACUAGUGGUUAGAAAAUGCUGAUUUGGACGCGUUCGCACUGCCCCUCAUAACAUAGAAGCCAAUUAGGCUUAUUUUAUGUGUUUUCAUGUCGAAAAAGACCCUGGGUUCAAUUUUCUCCGGAAUUACACUUUAAUGAAAACAGGCAUAUUGUGUAAUUUGGGUCUAUUGGCUGAACACCUGCAUAGUGCAGUAACUUUUUGAGACAUUAUUUAGACAAAAGGAAAACUUUGAACUAGCCUUUUAUAAUGCCUGGUAAGCCUGCAGCGUUCUUUCAGAUGAAUUUCUACAUCAUCAAGUAAUUCUUGAGGGUCUGCAACCUGGGUGACAGUUUACCACCUUUUAGACCAAGUAAAAUCUUUUGAGUGAAUUCAAAAGAGUUGGUCAGUGCUUUCGGAUAGCUGAGGUGUAGUGCAUAGAUCAGUCCAAAGAUUACCAGGAAGGCGUCGCCUAGUCUGGGGAGGCCGACAAUGGCAUCACUUUCAAUGAUGACAGAGAUUCUCACAGGGUGGUAGUGAACUGGACCUUGGACUGUGGCAUGUUCACUGAUGACGGUAAGGAGGCCCACUGCAACACUUUCAAGCUCUGGCUCAGACUCGUCCUGAAUGAAUGAAAAAGAGAUACUAAUCACAAACUAAUACAUGGAACAGAACCGAUUACAUAAUUUAUUUCUUUAACCAAGUCCCAAUGAAAUCCAAUAAGGGAGACCCAUGUCUCAUUGUAAGAGGUGAAAAGCAAUAGAUCCAUGUUCUGCACACAUAGAUCUAAGCGGUGUGAGAGACUGAAACCAAGCUCAAUGACAUUUACAGGAAAUUAUUUUACAUCUUAUUACUUUGAAUGAAAUACAGUUCCUUUAUAGUGAGGAGAAAGAAAACCAUACACUAAAACUGUAUGGGUAGACUAUAUAAAGGUAAGUCCUAAAACAUGUUAGUAUUUUGAUUAACUGUUUGUAUAAUACACAGUAGAAUCUGUUAGUGACUUAAGGAGACUUACUGUGCAGGUUCUGAAAAAUCCAGAAACGUCCUCGCGCAGAUAUACAGGAAGGCAGUGGAGAACCGUAGUGCGCUUGGUGUGGAUGACAUGGAUUUCCUAUUCAGAUAAAAACAGAAUUGUAUAUACAGAAGAGUUCACUGAACAAAGCUGAUUUUAAACAGAUGUUUUUUUUAUCAGAACAUAUGUCCACAAAUAACCUGUUCACAUCUUUAAUGCAAUCAGACAAAUGGCAAACACAAAGUGGACUAAUAAUUGCAAAAUUCACAAAGCUCAUUUAAAUCAUUGAACCUGUUCAAUGUUCCACUGGUUCAACCUAGGAAAUGUGUAAUAAUCUAUUUACCUGUUCAUCGUGGAUUUUUUAAAUUUCAGCCAGAGCAUCUGCUGUCUUCCCAGUUUUUGAUGCCUUCUGUCUGAAUAAGGUCAUCAGUCGAGGAAGAUGGCGAUCAAGCUCAGCAUAGAAAGUGUUGGGCAGGUUCUGAUUCGUAAUCCGCUGGAACUCUGCAUACAACUACAUUGAAAGAACAGCAGGAGGAGAAUACCGCAACACGACUUAAAAAUUGGAAGAAUUGCAAAAUGAGUAAGAAUCACAAUUUUCACUGUAAAAGUGCUGAUCCAUAUUACCUCAGACUCUAUUUUGAGAGCAGGCCAGAGGUCCAUAAGCUCGUUGACUGGUGGGGAGGACAUCACUAUGGUCUGUCGGCGUAGGGGAUAUGUGGUCUCCAUCAUCUUUCUAAUGAGGGGCAGGUUCUUCUCAGUCUUCUUGACUUCUUCAACAAUUGUCUGCCUCAACUGCUCAAGGCUUGAAGGAUCCUUUCCUUGGGCAAAGUUAGGUAGGAAGUUGACUUCCGCUCGUUUGGUUCUUUUAAUGUUGGAAUGUGAAGGUUCAUUUUCAGGAUUAGUGCUACUUCUUUUUCCAGAAUUUACAGUGACCUCUUGACAUCCAGCCCGCCUCAUCUUGUUCCUAUAAUUACCCAUCUUAAACUUGAUGCUGUAUUUCCAGCCAGUCUCAGAUCCCGCUUUCUUCAAGUAGGGAUGUUUGGCUACAAGAGCCUCAGCAACCAUUGCAAUCUCUUUAUCGCCUGGGUAAGCCUUAAAACCAUACAGAAUAGAUGCAAGCUUGUGUAACCAGGUGUAAGAAACACUGUUAAUUUAGUACCAUAAAAGAAGAGAGACUGUUUACUUUAAUUAUCUUAUUUAUUUUGAAUGCACCGCUCAACUCGCAUGGUCCCACGUAGGGUACCUAGUUCUCAGCAGCCAAUCAGAAGCUACGCAGGCCACGCUCAGCCUGUCGGCUCGGAGAGGAAGUGCAGUCGCGUUGCUCUUCCGGUCUUUUCGGAUCUCGGCCCGGGAAGCGAGGGCAGCUGUGUGUUAAGGAGAAGAGGAAAACUUGAGAAAAAACCCAGAGUGAAACCUGUGAAAAAGGAAAAAGAGUCGGAGCACUUACCCAGUGGAGGUCCGGAGCCAAGUGGCUGAACGAAGGAGAGUUACGUCGCAGGCUAACUGCUUGCCUGUCCUCCGGAGAGCUGCUACGAGGUUCGGCAUUGGCAUGCUCCACCUUGAUACACAGAGCAACGGUCAGGUUUUUUAGAGGACUGAGAGUCUGAGGUUCAGGACAACUUCCUGCUGUGAAAGAUGGCGAGCCAACUACCCUGAUUGAAGAUUAGCACCGAGGAGAUAUUCACGUACACACUCAUUCACACAAAUAAUACACUCACAUUACACUACAAGGAACCUUGGAAUCAGGUGAACUUUCAACAACUCCUUUUAUUUUAAGGGCCCCAACAGACAUUUUUGUUUUAAGUGUGCACACUAUUUUUUUAUUUUCAUUACUGUUUGGUAUAAUAUUUUGCAUUUUGUACGAACCAGACAAAUUACUUGGUUCACUGUAAAAUAUAAGAGUGGCUACUCAAUUGUUACUCUUGUGUCUGCCUCAUUGUUGUUGCUCAGUACAGUGGCUCCUCUCGAAUUUGGUCUCUUCUGAUUCUGGUCCUGGUCUUAUUGUAAGUCCAACUUAUAUUAUACUAAGUUGUACUGUAAUUAUACUGUAAUUCACUUUUACACUCCUAAAAUUGGUUACACUUACUAAAAUGUCGUGCUUUAGGUCUCUUGUCAGCUUAAGGUGUGUGUUGUUCUUCUCAUAUUCCGCAUUUCCAUCUCUAAGUUUCAGUUCUACAUCAAAUGCAAAUGUUGGAACUGGAAAAGGACCUGGAGGCCACCUGCUGAGACGCUCUGGAGAUGACACAUCUGAAAGUAGAACAGUAGAUGCAAUAGAGCUGGAGUCUUGUGAAAGUGAGAUGUGCACAACAGCUUUUUGUUUCCCGUCGAAGUCUGGAUCUUCAUAAAGCAAAUCAAAGUCAAGGUCGAUGUCCAGCUGUUCUUUUAUAAUGUUGAUCAGUGCAUCAACACUGGCUGGUCGUGAGCUGAGUUUUAAUUUUCUAGCCCGGUCUUGCUCAACAACACGAAGAAUCAUUUGUGGGGAUGCAGCUGCCAUUGUGCUAAUGAAAAGACAAAAUCAGGUUGUUAAAGAGUACCAUACAAUUGGAUAAUUCCACAGAGUGAAUAAAGACCAAUAACUGACAAAUAAAAUAACCAUUAUUACCUGAACUCAGUUCUGUCUCACUUCAAUGAAGCGCUUGAGGGUCAGCAGCAGCGAGCCGUCUACUUUGUAUGCUGAGAGAGGGACUGUAUCAUUCAGACAAGAAUGCAGGUGGAUCGACAGGCUUGUAUUUGCAGUUGACAGCUCAUAGGACAGUAGAUGUUCUACAUACCAGGAGUCAUAAUCAAGACACAGAAAAGAUACAUUAGGAUUUACAAGGAGGAUCUGUUCUAUUUUGCAAAAUUUGGACAGUCCACCGCUGUCUCCUACAGACAGAAACAUUCCACAGACAUAGUCUGUUCCAUCAAUGGUCACAUUUGAUGUCUUGUAGAUAGUGUCACUAGUUGUUUGUUCUCUAAUGUGUACUUGAGCAACCUCUGGUAGAGCUGAAACCAGAACAGACUCAAUCCUGGAUGCCUGAGUUUUUGCUUGAAAAAUGAUGGUGCAGCAAGAUGAUAUGCCAUCAUGUGUUGGUGUCUGAUUGCCAUUGUCUUUAAAAUAUUUUUGAAGUUUUGAGCGUCAUGCACCACUCUUUUGAAAAAGCGGUGCUUGGCCUCAAACCGCAUGGUCCAAACGUGCAGCAGGGGCCCAAAGCACUUGACAAGAGCAGGAUAGUGCUCCACAUAAUGAUGUUAGGACGGAGCCUAACUUCAGGGAAAACCUCUAGCAGUGCCUGUCUAUGAUCACUGAUUUUGCACUCAAAAUAGUCCAAGGUUUCAUCUGUAAAUGAUGGGCACAAUGCUAACUCUACCACCUCUUUCAGCUCCAUCAAAACUGCCCAUGCCUUAUCACCUUCUGGUACUACACUGCCAACAAGCAAUGGAAGAAGUCGGAGGAGAGUGGCAUUUUCAUGUGCAUUACCUCCAAUUGUUCCUCGAGAAAGCAACGUUUUGGGAGGUGUCUGAGGUCUAUCCACUUUAUCAGCGUGCUGAUAUGGGAAUGAUGUAAUCUUGUUGUUCAAAUACUCCAAAGUGAGGUACUUCCGCCGGAUCAUCUCUUUAAUACAAAGAGAAAGCUCCAUGGGAACGAUACCUUCCAGAAGAUCGUGGAGUAUAUCAGGAGGAAACCCUGUGAUUGUAUGGAAGUAAUUCAGGGAUUCUCGCAAGGCACAGCCACCUUUAACACCAAAGUGGCUUCUCAACGUGUCACCUUCUUGCACAGUUUGCACAUGUAGGUCAUGGCUAGCUUUGGUUCGCUGAGGAAACUUUCUCUCUCUGACUUCAGUUACUUGAAACUGUUCAACUGAGCCCAUACAGAAUCUGCAAACAUGGACUGUUAUAAAUGACUCUACAAAGCCACCUAAUCCAUGAGCAGCCAAAUUGUCAGCAGAAACACAAAAGACAGUGCCUUUGACAUUCUGACCAAUGCUUUCGAUGAAGACACCGUCAUUUUCCAGGGUAUGAACAUCACGCAGCAAUGGAGCAAGUACAGCUGCAUAUCCAUACUUACGGACGUCUGUCACUUUUACCAGUAUUGCGAGCUGUAUAGCAUGUAAUGCUGACCUGUUAUUUGGUGGCACAUUAGCGAGGACCCAAUAUACAGCGCAAAAUUUGUGAAUUUUGCGUGAUGUGCCAAGCGGAUUGCAAAUUUCAAGAUCAUCAAUAUAUAGCUGGAGUGGUAGGAUGAGAUCCCCUGUUGACAGCAACUAAUUUUCAAGGAAAUGAGAGCCAUUGGAGCAUGAUACAUAUUGACCAGAUGCAGUAUUUUUUUCAGUAAUCUUGUUAAGAAUGUCUGUGUUUUUAACACUAGAACAGCCGUCGAAGGGGUCAAAUGACCCCUGUGAGUUAAAAUAAAAUAUAUCUUUGCACUCGAUCACGUUCCAAAUCCCUACUUUCUUGACUUUUCCUAAAUAUGUCUGUUGUACCACCCUGUGUUAAAAAAAAAAAUUCAGACCGGGAAAGUUAUUAUAGAGCAUUUUUUUAUGUGUUCCUAUGUAAUGUUUUACAAGGAUGCAAUGCUCUUUCUUUGUCAGCAGAGGUCGCAAGGGGACAUUCUGAUGUGAUUAAGAUUGAUAUCUAUUAGGUAGAUACACAGACAGACAGACAGACAGACAGAGGUGGCCAAUAUGUCGACCGCGAUCAACGGGUCGACCGCGAGAGUAGUGCGGGUCGAUUACGUGACAUUAAAAAAAUUACAAAUCAAAGUUUAUAU